UGCGGAGGGAUCAUUACCGAGUUUACAACUCCCAAACCCAAUGUGAA
rnacentral:rRNA from 1 species